GAUGAACGCUGACAGAAUGCUUAACACAUCAGCGAUUGAUUGGUGGCGGACGGGUGAGUAACGCGUAAAGAACUUACAUCACAGUUAGGGACAACAUUUGGAAACGAAUGCUAAUACCUAAUACUGUGAGAGAGCUUUGCGUCCCAUUAGCUAGUUGGAGAGGUAACGGCUCACCAAGGCGAUGAUGGGUAGCCGGCCUGAGAGGGGGAUCGGCCACAAAGGGACUGGGUCACGGCCCUUACUCCUACGGGAGGAAGCAGUGGGGAAUAUUGGACAAUGGACCAAAGUCUGAUCAAGCAAUUCGGUGUGCACGAUAAAGUUUUCGGAAUGUAAAGUGCUUUCAGUUGGGAAGCGGUACCAACAGAAGAAGUGACGGCUAAAUACGUGCCAGCCGCCGCGGUAAUUC
rnacentral:rRNA from 1 species